rnacentral:rRNA from 1 species
AUUGAACGCUGGCGGCAGGCCUAACACAUGCAAGUCGAACGAGUGGCGGACGGGUGAGUAAUGCCUGGGCAACUGCCUGAUGGAGGGGGAUCACUACUGGAAACGGUAGCUAAUACCGCCUACCAUACGAUGUGCCCAGAUGGGAUUAGCUAGUUGGUGGGGUAACGGCUCACCAAGGCGACGAUCCCUAGCUGGUCUGAGAGGAUGACCAGCCAAACUGGAACGGAGACACGGUACAGACUCCUACGGGAGGCAGCAGUGGGGAAUAUUGCACAAUGGGCGCAAGCCUGAUGCAUACAGGCCGCGUGGAUGAAGAAGGCCUGAGGGUGGUAAAUUGCUUUCAGCGGGGAGGCGUUACCCGCAGAAGAAGCACCGGCUAACUCCGUGCCAGCAGCCGCGGUAAUAC